AAUACAUGAUGCAGGCAUUUUUUAAGCAUUUCCUUGAAUCUUUCCAAACUCUCAUAAAAGGAUUCUCCUUCAAACCGAGUAAAAGAAGUUAUUUCACUUUUAAGAUU